AUCGCCAAAGUCAAGGAUCGGUAGGAUGGUCAGUUUUACGAGGGCAGAGCAAGCAACAGAUGGCACACAGACAGCAGAGCUGGGGACAGAUCGGCAGGGACAGACUGGCAGAGACAAGGAGUCUCAGGAGACAGACUGUGAGGCAAUGAGGGUGGUGAAAGAGCCAGGGAGAGAGACUUCAGAGGACAGUGUCACAGCCACGGCAGGACCAGGUGUCAACCUUGUUGCCAGCAGCACCAGUAUAUGGAACAGUGGCACAGCAUUGUCCAGUUACCUCAGUUAUGGCACAAAACCAUAUCAAUUUAUAGAACCGCAAACUCUUGCCAACAGAGUGUUGAUGUUUCAAUAGAAAUGGUUUUGCGAUUUCCCCUGGCUACAUUAUAAUCCAUCAAUAAAAUGAGUGUUGUGUUUUCACUGUAGCCAAUUGUUUUCAAGCCAGCCAUCUUUUGGCCAAAGAGAGGAUGCUGCCUUCAUUAGUGCAGGAUUUAGGAACUGGAGAAAAGCCAUUGUAAAAUUCACAGCACAUCAAAACUGCCCAUCCCACCUCCACUUUGUAACUGUAUCAGCACACCAGCUAAAUCCAAUCAGUGUCCAGUUAUCCAGCAAGUGGGGUAAACAGCAGGAGGACGCAAGGCAUUGCUUGAUGAAAAUUGUUAGUUCGGUGUUUCGUAGAAAUAUUUGGUCAAUAAUAUUUCUCAGAUACCGGAACUUGUGAAUUCAAAUAGACUUUAUUACAAAGUAACAAGCCGAGCUGGUCCAUGGAUCAACUGUCUUCCCAGCUUCGGCACACACUUUCUAUACAGUUCUCAUCCUUACGUCACACACAUUAUCUCCUCUUUAUGUUAAUGCUUCAUCACCUCUGGUACUGGCCACCAUUAUCUUUUUGACUUGUACUCAUUUUAGCUUAGUUUCCUCAUUCUUAUUGGCACAGACAUUAGGGCAUAGAUUCUAUUCGUGGCGUAACCAUAGCAAUGACAGAAAUAAACAGACAUGCACACUCCUAAUGCUGGUGCAUGUCUAAUGGUGCUUAAGCAAUACAAACCCAUGCUCUUCAUGCACGUACAUGUCUUAUGGUGCUUGUAAAUGAUUAACUAAUGUGUAUGUACAAUGGCCUGCACAAGACCAGGCAUGACCCAGAAUCGUUAGGCCUGUGUUGAUACAGCUUUGCACAUUCACAUGGAUUCUGCUUACGCAUGUCUAAUGGUUAACCCUUAUAUUGAUUCUGCGUACCAGCUUUGCACAUUCACAUGGAUUCUGCUUACCCUAAGAUGCACAACAUGUACUGGAGCAUCUCCAAUAGGUGUGGCAUGUAGUAAGACAGGGACAAGCCUUUAGAUGCCAUACGGAUGACAGUGGGAAUUUAUACCAGCUUUUGAAACUUAGGGCAGAAGAGGAUGAUCCCAUUUUACUGAAGUGGUUAACAGAGCAUACCACAAUGUACACAGGCCCCAAAGCACAGAAUAAAGUUCUGUACAUCAUGGCCAAUACAGUCAUUCGAGGCCUUGCAGCUGAGAUUAGGUAUCUUCCGAUUGAAGAAUUUUCAGUAAUUGUUGAUGGUACUGAAGUAAGUCGCUCUGGAUAAGAGCGUCUGCUAAAUGACUUAAAUGUAAAUGUAAAUGUAAGAUGUUUCUGGUGCUGAACAGGAGAGUGUCUGCCUGCAUUAUGUUCACCAUGACCGUGUCCCUAACGAGGAGUUUAUUGGGCUAUACAAGGUGUCGGAGACAACAGGCGAGGGCAUUGCAAAAGUGGCAAAUUAUGUGUUGUUGAAGCUCAAUUUGCCCCUUGUCUGACUUACGUGGGCAGAGUAACGAUAGUGCCUCAAACAUGACAGGAACAUACAGAGGUGCACAGGCAAUUGUGAGGAGGCAGCAGCCAUUAGAGCUCUAUGUGCAUUGUGGAGCACACUGUGUUAAUCUGAUUACACAGGCUGUCUGCUCAGCCUCCCCACUGAUCCGGGAUUCCCUUUCUUGGGUCCAUCAGUUAGGUGUCCUCUAUGGCCAGUCAGGAAAGUUUAAGAGCAUGUUGGAAUCAAUUGCCACGUCCAAAGAUACACAUCUGACCACCAUGAAACCCCUAUGUCCAACAAGGUGCUGUGCAGAAUACUGCAAUUAGAGCUGUGCUAGGGCAGUAUGAACGGGUACUAAGCAGCCUAGAGGAGAUGGCAAAAACUGCAUCCAAGACAGCUUCAACUGCCAGUGGCUUAUUUGAGCACUUCAGCAAAGGCAAGAGUAUGUUGGGCGUCACACUUGCCUCUGCUGUUCUUGAAGAACUUGAAUGCCUAAACAUUAUUUCACUGCAGAAAAAAACUUGGAUUGUCUCUGGUGUGCAGGCUGCAGUCGAGUGUGUGCGGUCAUCUCUUAGGUGCAAGAGAAAUGAUGAAAGCUACCUUGCACUGUAUGAGAAAGCAACAACAUUGAUUGAAUCCAUUGAGACACACUCAAGAUGAUUUGCUGGCAAAGCGUGGAUCACUAUAGGGCAUCAUUUUUUUAAGUGUUGGAUGCUAUGGAGGUUCAGUGUUCGGCCGUUUUGACCAGGACAGUCUAAACGUCCUGCACAAGUUGGAAAGAACGCUUCUCACGGGGGAGUUGGAUGAGUCUCUAGAUCAGUACCCUGAGCUGAACAUAGAUUCUCUUUCAGUGCAGUUGCCUCUAUUUCACAACAAAUACCCCUGUAGCAGCAGUGGAGAGGCAGCGGAGGUCCUCAGGAAGGUUCCAGUGGAGGUGCGGGGGUUGUUUGACCAAGUUGAGGUGCUGAUCAGGAUUUUGUUUGUGGUGCCAGUGUCUUCAUGUGAGGCUUAGAGGAGUUUCAGUGCACUCCGUAGGUUCAAGACUUGGCUACGAGCUGGCAUGGGCGAAAAGAGACGGAACAGCGUAGUUGUCUGUAAUGUACAUAAAGACAGACUGGAGGGAAUAUAUCUGCCAGCAAUUUGUUGGAUCCAUUGAAACCCACAAACAUGUUUGGUUCUUAUGUUCAGUACUAUGUAUAUAUAAAGUUACUGGAAACCUUGUGGUGCUGAAUAUGUUCUUUACACUUUUUUAUUUCACGGACCCCUUGAAAUUACACCAGGGACCCCUAGGGGUCCACUGACCCCUGUUUGAGAACCCCUGGUGUAUAGUAUGAUAUUUGUUAUUUUGUUUAGUAGUUUUCAGUUUUUAUUACAUGACAGACAGUACACUUACUAAUGAUUUAUUUUGUUAUUUUAUUUAAAAUUGCAUACUUUGUGUGAUAUACUUGUCCAUAGUUGUUGUUUGAAGAGUUGAGACACUGACUGAACAAUAAAUAAGUAUU